rnacentral:lncRNA from 1 species
GACCUACCUCCUUAUAAGCUCAAGUAUCUUUCAUUUACUAACCAAUGUGAAAUAUAACUCAGUAAUCCCCCCUCAAACAAAAAUACCGCCAGACUUUAGUUUUUUCAUCUGACAUACUUGAGUUGUUCCACCUCCAUAUUCUUAUUAUUAGGGUCUACCUCUGAUACUAUUUGUUGAGAAAAUUUAGCAUAAAAUUUUUAGAUAUCCAAAUCAAAAUAAUAAUCUUUUAGAUAAAGUGACGUACUUCUUUAAUACUUCUUUACAAAUCUAAAUAUCGUUCUUUUAUUAAUCAACGCAGGACAUAACUCAACAUUAUCGAUUGUCAUUAUACAUGGGUAAAAUUUAAAAAAAAAAAAAAGGGGGGGGGGGGGGGGGUGGGAAGAGAGACGAUUUGCGAUUUGGCAGACAAACUUUACAAAGCCACCAAUGGAAGGUCUAAACUUGUAGCCGAAUGAGUCCAAAAGCUUUACUAAUAUUAAUUCAUGUGCUGCUAGGCGCUAGCUGCGCGGAUGGUGGAGUGAAAAGAGAGAUGGAAAAGUAAAAGGCUAAAAGCACAACAGUCAAUUGUCGAAAACACUUUACAAAAUUUCCACGUCAACUCAUUAAAAGUCAAUCCACUAAUCAACCCAGCUGUUUCUUCUUGUCUCAUUGGGCAUCGUGUUUCCGCUGAACUAGCUCUAGCCCAAGACAGAAAAGCCUAGCUUAACAAAUUUGGGCCCAAAAGCUGGAAAUGUAAAUACAAACCAUCAAACAUUUCAAAGAGUUCUCUGGGUGAGGGAAAUUUCUCAAGGCCCUUGUUUCACAUGCAACUAAACUAACCAAUAGAGUCAUGACGUAUCUAUGUUUAUAUAGAUAAUUAUGAAUUUUAUUAGCUUGUUUGUACAUGUUUUCGAUGUACAUAAUAUUUUUGACGUUGAUUGUUAUCAUAUAACCACUCUUAUAAGUUCAGAGUGGUCAAUGUUGACCUCCAUUUCCUACUUUGCUAUCAACAGGAAGAAAUAAUAAGCAUGUCUUGUAGACUACAAUAUAAUUUAUUCAUCUAAAUUAUGGCCUCGUUUGAAUUGAGAUUAGGUGGCUAUAGUUUUUAAAUUACAAUAUUAAAAUAUUUGAUAAAAACUUGUUACUGUGACCAAGAAACUAAAACAAUUUGAAAUUACACUUGUAUGACAAAUUCUAUAAUAUCUUUAUUAUUUUUUUUAUCAAAAUUAUUAUUUAAAUACCAAAUUUCUUACACACAUUAUCAAUUUUUUUCAUAGUAUCUAUGACUUAAACUUUUUUAUCAAAAUUUUUCAUAGUAGCUGCAACAAUAGGGCCUAAGUAGCAAUAUAAUAUUUGUGACAAGUCGAUAGUGUUGCUAGCAUUGUAGGGCAUGUUUAAGGUGCCUGACUUGUGCUUCUUAAUCCAUAAUGUUAUAAAUUUAGAUUGACUCAUGAGAUGUCAAAUAAAAAAUGUAUAUUUUUUAGGUAUUUUUCUUUUAAUAACAAUGUAAAUUUCAAUUAUAACUGUUAUAAAUGUACUUUUUGGACCGGACAAUCUAGGGUUGGCAAAUUAAGGGCUGGACUUGGGCGGGGUCCAUUGUAAGUCUGGGCUGGGCUUGGGCUAAGCUUAGGCUUUUACUUUAAAAAAAAUUGUUGUAAACUUGAAAUGAGUUAAUAAUAAUUAAGUUGUUGUAAUAAAAAAUGAAUUAGAAAAAUAAUUAUUUCAAAAUAAAAUAAUAAAUA